GUGAAUGGGGGCCUGUCUUGCUGUAUGCUGUGCCAGGGGAAAGGGAAUCUAUGAAGCCCCUGCUGGAGAGCCUGACAUGGAUCUACAGGCUUUGCCUGGGUUAGAUAAAAGUGUUGUUUGAUUGUUAUGUGUGGUACUUGCUCCAGGGGUAACUCUGACGCCCUCCACCCCAGGAGGGAGGGUGUUGUUUGUGCAGAGGGCAGCUCAGCAGUCAAAUUCUGCAGAUGACAACAGCAUUCAUUGCAAAAAUUAGAGGACAGUCUGUUUGUAUCAAACAGCAGAAGCAUGAGGAUAUGCAGCCAAGAGAUGACAGGAAAGUAUCUGUGCCAAAGACAACUUCUGGAAAAGAAUCCUUGUAUCUCCCAUCUGGCAGUGGGAACUGCAUGGAACAGCAAGGAAAAAUAAACACCCCUCUGUAAAGUGA